AAGUCGUAACAAUGUUACCGUAGGUGAACCUGCGGUACGAUCAUUCUUGCAAAGAUCUGACAACGCUUCGUUCUUGAGGGUAAUUCCGAUUCUCGAACGUUGUCAACUGGUAAAUUAACACUGUAAACUUAAAUAAAACAGGUGCCCAUGUAGGAUGGGUGAUGAGUCUAGCAAUAAGCGAGUUGCCCAUCCAUAGGCUGGCCCUGGGGGCUAUUAACUAACCAUAUCCAUGGCAUUGCCUUAGAACAUUAGAAUUAAAUAUAAUCUUAACAAUGAAUCUCUUGGCUCCU
rnacentral:misc_RNA from 1 species